AUAAAAAUAAUUAAUUUAUUUAUCACUCUUUACUAUUUAUACAUAUAGCUUCAUACUAAAUCAAGGGAUUCUAUAUGAUAACUUUAUACUUAAAUAGUAAUUGAUAUUUUCUACUUUAAUUUAGAAAAUUGCUGUUAUAAAAAAUAUACAAAACAAUGGUUGAGCUAAGUUGCUUCAUUUGAAAUAAAUUCUAAGCACCUUUGAAAAAGGCAAACACAUGUGGCUCUAGCUCAAUUAUCUUCGAUGUCCAUCUUCUCAGUUUGGUCCCUUCUUCUUAGUCAUAGUUCUCAACAAUACUUAUACUAGUCAUUUUUUCGCAAUUAUUGCUAGUUUUGAAAAACAUUAUGGUAGACCUUCAAAUUUUGGUAGAGCUUUUUAAUGUCUUUCUUAUUGUUUACAUGACCUUCUAGAUGUAGAAUUGCAACCUUGCAAAAUAGACCGUUGUUGUAUGGCGUGAUUUGCUAUUUGGGAAUACACUGGAUAUCUAGCUGUAGAGA
rnacentral:lncRNA from 1 species